GAUUAACGCUGGCGGCGUGCCUAACACAUGCAAGUCGAACGAUGAAACUUUAAUGAACCCUUCGGGGAGAAUUAAAGCGGAUUAGUGGCGAACGGGUGAGUAACGCGUGAGUAACCUGCCUUACACAAGGGGAUAGCCUUUGGAAACGAAGAAUAAUACCCUAUAAAACCAUAAAAGCACAUGCAAUUAUGGUCAAAGUGAUAGCGGUGUAAGAUGGACUUGCGUCUGAUUAGCUAGUUGGUGAGAUAAAAGCCCACCAAGGCAACGAUCAGUAGCCGGCUUGAGAGAGUGUACGGCCACAUUGGGACUGAGACACGGCCCAGACUCCUACGGGAGGCAGCAGUGGGGAAUUUUGCACAAUGGGGGAAACCCUGAUGCAGCGACGCCGCGUGAUUUAGAAGGCCUUCGGGUUGUAAAAAUCUUUUGUAUAGGAAGAAAAUGACAGUACUAUACGAAUAAGGUCCGGCUAAUUACGUG
rnacentral:rRNA from 1 species